GAUGAACGCUGGCGGUAUGCUUAACACAUGCAAGUCGAACGGUCACUUCGGUGAUAGUGGCGGACGGGUGAGUAACGCGUGAGAAUCUGUCUUCAGGUCGGGGACAACAGUUAGAAAUGACUGCUAAUACCGGAUGUACCUUUGGGUGAAAGAUUUAUUGCCUGAAAAAGAGCUCGCGUCAGAUUAGCUAGUAGGUGGUGUAAGAGACUACCUAGGCUCCGAUCUGUAGCUGGUCUGAGAGGACGAUCAGCCACACUGGAACUGAGACACGGUCCAGACUCCUACGGGAGGCAGCAGUGGGGAAUUUUCCGCAAUGGGCGAAAGCCUGACGGAGCAAUACCGCGUGAGGGACGAAGGCUUUUGGGUCGUAAACCUCUUUUCUCAAGGAAGAUGAUGACGGUACUUGAGGAAUAAGCAUCGGCUAACUCUGUG
rnacentral:rRNA from 1 species